rnacentral:misc_RNA from 13 species
AACAUCGUAAUCAAUGAAGUUCUACUGAGAUGCGAUUAUUGCUAGUUGAAAACUUUAACCAAU